ACCCCCGACGCCUGGGCCUCCCCGCACGACGAGGCCACGGUCGCAAUGGCGGCCGCGCACGGGGCGCAUUCUCCGGCCCCUCCCGCCCUCCGCUCCGGCCGCGUGCUGAGCCCUCGAAUCACCCGCGGCGGCCUGCGCUGUGCCUCGUGCUGCCCAUUUUCCCCCGUCUGACUUGGCGUCUCUUCCGGAGUUCUCAGCCGGCCGUUGUCCUUAGUUACCCCUCCCCCGCCCGGGAGCCCGACAAUGGUGUUGCCAGGAAACGGUGCGGUUCCACUCCGCUGACCUCCAGGGGAGGAAGUCGGUUCAGCUGUCACUUCCUCGGAGAAAUCUUGUCUGAUUCUGAAAAUCAUGUCAGAUCUCCUUUAUGCACUUGGAUGUCCAUCACUUCUUUUAAAACUCUUCCACAAUUCGACUCUGCUUAUUUCCAUCAAGAAAAAGAAAAAUCUUGGAUUAACAGUUGCUACAUUUCUAAAUGAUGACCUAAAACCUAUAGGUUUAUCUUGAAGCAGAUGAUUUUUGCAACCAACACAAGUUAGCUUUCAAAGAAGAUCUGCCCAGUUCUCUAAUCCCUUGUUGUCAGACGUGGCAAACAGGAAUUCUUAUACCUGGCAGGAGGACAAGGGCAGUGAUUCUCAAACUUCAUUAUCUCAGAACCCUUUACAUACACCAAAAUGACUGAAGAUUCCAAAAAGCUUUUAUUUAUCCAAUUUUGUUCUUUUAUCUAUCGGUAUGAUUUUAUCUAUAAAUAUUUGCCAUAAAUAAAAACUGAGGACUUUAAAAAUAGUUAUCA
rnacentral:lncRNA from 1 species